rnacentral:rRNA from 1 species
GUCUACAGCCAUGGCACCCUGAACGUGCCCGAUCCCGUCUGAUCUCGGAAGCUAAGCAGGGUCGGGCCUGGUUAGUACUUGGACGGGAGACCACCUAGGAAGACCAGGCGCUGUAGGCG